rnacentral:rRNA from 1 species
UACGUAGGGUGCAAGCGUUGUCCGGAAUCAUUGGGCGUAAAGCGCGCGUAGGUGGUCAUGUAAGUCCGCUGUGAAAGUCAAAGGCUCAACCUUUGAAAGCCGGUGGAUACUGCAUGACUAGAGUACGGAAGAGGCGAGUGGAAUUCCUGGUGUAGCGGUGAAAUGCGCAGAUAUCAGGAGGAACACCAAUGGCGAAGGCAGCUCGCUGGGACGUGACUGACGCUGAGACGCGAAAGCGUGGGGAGCAAACAGG